UGACUUAAGGUGGCUCGGGACUAUUCGACUGCGCAUAAUUUCACGCAUGAAUUACAAAAGUAUUUGUCGUAAAAAAUUUUCAUAUUUUGAUUGAUUAGAAAUAUUAAAUCAUUGUAGUUAUGUGACUAAUAGAAUAUUUUCGUUAUUAUCGGUAUUUUUUAAAGGGUCAAAAUGACAUUUCACCCAUUUUUACCAUUUUCCCGCCAAAAUUUGGGUUGUAAGGCAAAAUAAUUUUUUUUCCUUAUCGGUGACCUAUGUUUUUUAUUGGCUCAUUCUUUGAAGCUGUAUUCAAGCUUUUCAUAUUACAGAUUUGGAACAAUUGUCAUAGAACGUUUUUUUGAUAUUCCGAAAAAAAUAUGUCAACACCUCUAUUUCCCCUAUCAUUUCAUUGAAAAAUGGUCCCUUUUACAUACCUGUUUAAAAGUAAAAUUUUGAGCUUAAAUGGUCCGUGACCCCCUAUUUUUUUUCGACCAAUUUGAUUCAUUUUCUUUAAAGAAUAAAAUAACCAAAAAUACGGCACUUCUGAUAGAAACUUCGAAUACACCCGAGCCACCUUAAUGGUGCUAGUACCGGAUAUAUGUGCAUUGUAUUGUCAAAAACAGCCCAUAUUUAUGUAGCAGAAACAUUCUACUGUCCAAUAAAUAACUAAAGGUUUACAUUUUAACAAUUUUGUAAAAUUGCUAUAUUUUGGGGCCAAAAAGGGGUCUUACUGAACCUACUCCUUUG
rnacentral:lncRNA from 1 species